rnacentral:rRNA from 1 species
AGCAGCCGCGGUAAUUCCAGCUCCAAUAGCGUAUAUUAAAGUUGUUGCAGUUAAAAAGCUCGUAGUUGAAUUUCGGGAUCAAUAUUUCGGUCAUGCCGUUGGUAUGCACUGUUAUCAUUGAUUUCUCACCUUCUAAAGAACCGUAAUGCCAUUAAUUUGGUGUUACGGGGAAUUAGGACUGUUACCUUGAAAAAAUUAGAGUGUUUAAAGCAGGCUCACGCUUGAAUACAUUAGCAUGGAAUAAUGAAAUAGGACAUCCGAUUCUAUUUUGUUGGUUUCUAGGAUCGAUGUAAUGAUUAAUAGGGAUAGUUGGGGGCAUUAGUAUUCAAUUGUCAGAGGUGAAAUUCUUGGAUUUAUUGAAGACUAACUACUGCGAAAGCAUUUGCCAAGGAUGUUUUCAUUAAUCAAGAACGAAAGUUAGGGGAUCGAAGACGAUCAGAUACCGUCGUAGUCUUAACCAUAAACUAUGCCGACUAGGGAUCGGAUGAUGUAU